CAGUCGAGGGGUAUAGUAGCAAUACUAGAGACCGGCGCACGGGUGCGUAACGCGUAUGCAAUCUACCUUAUACAGAGGGAUAGCCCAGAGAAAUUUGGAUUAAUACCUCAUAGUGUUAUUGAAUGGCAUCAUUUAAUAACUAAAGUUCCAACGGUAUAAGAUGAGCAUGCGUCCUAUUAGCUAGAUGGUAAGGUAACGGCUUACCAUGGCUACGAUAGGUAGGGGUCCUGAGAGGGAGAUCCCCCACACUGGUACUGAGACACGGACCAGACUCCUACGGGAGGCAGCAGUGAGGAAUAUUGGACAAUGGGCGCAAGCCUGAUCCAGCCAUGCCGCGUGCAGGAAGAAGCAUCUAUGGUGUGUAAACUGCUUUUGUACGGGAAGAAACACUCCUACGUGUAGGAGCUUGACGGUACCGUAAGAAUAAGGAUCGGCUAACUCCGUGCCAGCAGCCGCGGUAAUACGGAGGAUCCAAGCGUUAUCCGGAAUCAUUGGGUUUAAAGGGUCCGUAGGCGGUUUAAUAAGUCAGUGGUGAAAUCUGGUCGCUCAACGAUCAAACGGCCAUUGAUACUGUUAGACUUGAAUUACUAGGAAGUAACUAGAAUAUGUAGUGUAGCGGUGAAAUGCUUAGAUAUUACAUGGAAUACCAAUUGCGAAGGCAGGUUACUACUAGUGGAUUGACGCUGAUGGACGAAAGCGUGGGGAGCGAACAGGAUUAGAUACCCUGGUAGUCCA
rnacentral:rRNA from 1 species